rnacentral:lncRNA from 1 species
UGGCAUCUUCAUGAGGUCAAAUCUAUUGGUGAACAGUGACCAAGAGUGAGCUGAUUAAGGAAGAAGGCUCAGGGAGAAGUUGCUGGAAAACCAAGAGAGAUGGAGAGGAAAUGGAGGAAACAGAGCAAUGAAAGAGAGAGAAGAGGAAAUGGAAGAAGAGAGAGAAGGAGAGAAGGAGAGAAACAGAGCAGCUUUGUUGUGUAAGCAUGGUACUGAUUGAAAA